AGGAGAGGGAGGAAGAGGGAAGAUGGCGGCGGCCGUGAACCAGCGUGGCCUUAACCAGCCAUAGUUAUGAUAUUAUAAGACCUGUGGGUGUCUGCCUGACCUGUAGUCUGAAGAUGCUCUUUCUGAAGUCUUAGGAGGGCCCCUCAGUGAGGAUGCCCGAAGCUGAAGGCUUUACUUCUGUUUCAAGGACUGGAUGUGUCAUCACUAUCACCAUCAUCAACACCACCACCACCACCAGCAGCAGCAGCAACAAAGAUAAACUCACUUGUUAGAGUGAAGACUAACAGGAUUACCAGAAGGAGCCACCUACUCAGUUGAACAAGACGUGUGGUCUGAAGAUACACAACACCGAGACAGGACUGUGUGGUGCUCACAUGCCACGAGCAGAGUUCAAACAGCAUCCAAGCCCUAAAGACCAGAGCCAUGGACCAAUAUGGUGGAUGGCAUGUGUGCGCUUGUUCCAGAAGUGCUACUCAUCAUGGAGGCAAAUCCUGUGAGGACGUGGAAGACUUCACCUGGUUUCUCCGCUUUCCUCCCGGUGACACGGGGGAUACUUCGGGCAGAUACUGAACUGUCUGCUGCCAUUUACAGCCACAGUUACAUGGGAUUGUUUGUUCCUUCCCUGGGCUUCUACCUCUUCCUUGACUGGAACAGAAGCUAGGUGCUUAGAUAAACCUGGUCAAAUAUUUUAAAUCAGGAUUCUCUUUUUUUCUCAGCCUAAGAGCUUAAGUGGCUAUUUAUGUAGUUUUAUAAAUAAAAAAAAAAUUUUUUUAACAUCCUGAUCAUACCAUAGCCAUUUUAAAGAGGAGAAGAGACAUUUUAAAGAGCUAUGUGUGCUGCAUUAGACUACUGAAGAAAAAAAAUAGACCCAAGGAAUUAACAUUUCUGAGGAAUCUCAGAGAGAAGUUUUGUAAA
rnacentral:lncRNA from 1 species